UUUUUGGCUCUUUUUUCAUUAUGAAAUCUUGUUGAGAGCUUCCCGUCUAUGAGAGCUAACUAGUUAGCCACUAGCAAAACGCUAAUGCGAGCUAGCAGCUUGACAACCAAAUACCAGACGAUUAAUAGUAGCUGUAGUAUAGUUGUACAAGCAGUAGUAGUAAUACUAAAAGUACAAGCAGCAGUAGUAGUAUAAACAGCUGUUAGAGUUGUAGAAGUAGUAUCAGCAUUUGUAAUAGUAUUACAAGUUGUAGUAGCAGUUAGUGUACUAAAAACUACUACUAGUAGUAGUCACAUUGCUAUUACUACCACCAAUACUACCAAUAGUAGUUAUAAAGCCUAACUCAUAUAUAUCCAGAUUACCAUCUAUGUUCUUCCUCCAAACCCAUUUUAUGAUUGGGAUUACAGGCAGUUCUUUAGGACUGCUCUCAAAUAAUUGAAAUGUUACUAAACAAGGUUAUACUUAUCAAAUUAAAUAGCUCUGGUCUCCAGUAUAUUGGCGAAUUCGGUUCUUUGUACUUAAUUUAUUAGCAUGAUUUCUUUUUAAUAUGUUGUGUACAGACUAAAUUACUUCUCUGUCUACUUUUCUUACUCCAUGUAGGUUUCCCAGAGACUAUGGGUUGAGGAGGAAUUGGAAGUUUGUCGGCUUAGACCUGGUGUCAUUCCAUCAGUGUUUAACUUCCCGGCUCAUCUUGGAAGAGUACGUGCCAGAAAGACCACGACCAAGCAGCCUUGAGAUCUUAGACAGCGUCUCCUUCUGGUCCCUCUCUAUCUCCCCACACAUCCACCAACCACUGGAACACAUCUCCAAAGUUCUGCCGGGCCAGCUCAGCUUCCCCUCAGAAGAAGUGCCGCCACCUGCCAGAUGAAGGAGUCUUUUGAGAGGCAGCUGGCAUCAUGAUUGGACUGUACUUUGGUCUGUUCCAAUCCAGCUUCAGCUCCAGAGACGGCAGGUGGGACGAGUCAACGGAGGCCGGGUGGACGAAGGCAUGCAGCUGAGUACAAUCCAGAAAACAACAAAUAAGUCAAAGGAAAGAGACAUACAUUGUAGAAUUGUAGUAAUUGUGGGCUGACUGAUUUACUGAUUAUCAGUAUUUUAUUUUUUACUGAUUUACGGUAAUAAAUACAUUUAAAAAUG